rnacentral:rRNA from 1 species
AUUGAACGCUAGCGGGAUGCUUUACACAUGCAAGUCGAACGAGUGGAGGACGGGUGAGUAAUAUAUCGGAACGUGCCCAGUCGCGGGGGAUAACUACUCGAAAGAGUGGAUAAUACAGCAUACUAUUGGAGCGGCCGAUAUCGGAUUAGGUCGUUGGGGGGGUAAAGGCUAACCAAGGCAACGAUCCGUAGCUGGUGUGAGAGGACGACCAGCCACACUGGGACUGAGACACGGCCCAGACUCCUACGGGAGGCAGCAGUGGGGAAUUUUGGACAAUGGGGGAAACCCUGAUCCAGCCAUCCCGCGUGUAUGAGAAGGCCUUCGGGUUGUAAAGUACUUUUGGCAGAGAAGCGGUAUCUGCAGAAUAAGCACCGGCUAACUACGUGCCAGCCGCCGCGGUGAUUC